rnacentral:lncRNA from 1 species
AUUUACAUUUGAGAGUUGAGAAGCUGCAGGAAAAAGUGGAAGAAUUACUGAAAUUUAAAAUACUUCACAUCAACUAAAUACUCAGUAGGUGCCACAUGCAUUAUCUCACUUAAUUCAUAGUGCCCCCAUUUUUUCAAUGAAGAAAUAGAGGUUCAGUGAAAUGAAGUCAUUUGAUUGCACAGAGCUGAACUGGCAGCAUGAGGAUUUGAACCCAGGCAGCUUGGCUCUGGGGCAAGUACUCAGCCCCUACCUACUCCUGCAGCUACAGCCCUAAAGGGGUGGAGGAUCAUCAGGUAAGGCCUCGGACCAAGGGGAGGGGUAACUUUUCAGGAGUUGUGAGAAUGCCUUGGCUGAAUAUAGAGGCCCCUGCUUUCAGCGUCUGGCCCUAUGCAAAUCACCAAGUGAAUGUGGUCCCAUUUCUCUGUUUCCAUCUGCCUUUGUGAAACUGCUUCUGCUUAGCGGUGUGGAGUAUUGCUUUCCCAGUUUAGAAAGUUAAUUUAUAAAGGCAGCUGAAGUGAAGAAUAUGGUUCAAGAGGGUGACCCAGCUGCAGGUGUUGGGGGAAUAAGAUGGGGGCAGGGGAUGUAGAGCUGGAGAUUCAAGAAAAAAAAAUCUUGUAACUUUGAGGUACAAGAAACCUCAAAAAGAAAAAAAGAAAAGGUGAAAAGACAAAAGUAUGGAUGUAAGCUCAAAGCCUUGGCAGUAUCUAUCCCUUACCUGUUCUACACCCUGAUUUUUUGUUUAUUUUGUAUUUCUGAUACGAAAGCACAAAGUUGAAGUUUCUAAUUUCUUGGUGACAAAGUGCAUACAAACUUUGAGAAAGAUAAGGUCAUGUUUAUCUUUACUAAAAAUGUAGACAUGUUUGAGAAAAUUCAGAUAUGAGGAAGAACAAACAUGUAACCCAUAAUUCCAUCACGAAGCAGUCUCUGGUUUACAUAUUUUGAACCAUAUUCUUACACGUCACAAAGAAAAUCUUCAAGCAAAUUGUAAUCAAAUGAUUGGAUGACAGGGAGAAAAAGAAAGGCCAUGGGGAAGGUCACACAGAAUAAAAUCAGCCCUCUUAUAUCAGCCACCAUCUGAUUCCUUUAGUAAGUUGCAUAUUUUGCUGCCAGCAGAAUGGCAGUUCCCAAAAAUGAGGCCCCCAUGAGGCCCCUCCUUUACCACUGACCCGUAGGCAUUAUCUUUACGUUGCUCUAAGCCCCCUCUCCAAGCCUUGGGCAAGCCUCUCAAGGACUUUCGAAAGCCCAGCACCUGCCCUAGAAAAACCCUCCAGGAACCAGCCACCUCUGAGUGCCUCAACACUUUUCUUCAGGCAGUCUGUCAUGAAUAGUGCUCCAAGAGUCAAGGCUUAAAAGACUCUCAAAAACUCCAGCAUUCUCUUUGGAAACAUCCUUCUUGGACCUUCUGGAGGGCCAUGCUGCCGGAAGGUAUAAAGAGAAAUGAAGCCAAAUCACUGGGGAAGCUUUUGUUUGGUGGAAAUCUGUUGUCAGCCUGUCUUCCACUCUAUUGCGAUGCUGUGUGUGUGUGUAUAAGUGUGUAAGUGUGUGCUUGUGAUGUGUGGUUUAGAUAUUUUUUUUUUUCAUUUGACAGAGGUGAUUGUUUUUCUCUUACAAUGAGUUUUUAUUUGUUUUUAAUAGAAAACCCAUCAACGGUACAAAAGGGCAUGUGUAUCACUCUCCUCCAGCUGCCCAGGAUGUUGGGAGGAAGGAAGGCCAAGAGGAAGAAGGUGGCUCAGGUCCUGCUGCCAUGAAGAAGCAGGAGGCCAAGCAGGGGAUAAAUCCCAUUUGAGGAAAGGCCUAAGGAUUUUGGCACUGAAUAGAACAUCCAGCCCAGAAGGGACCUUACCAGCUUUGUCAAAUGGGCCUGCUACCUCUGGCUGCAGUGGCAAAGGAUUCCCUCUCUCAGUGACUGAAGAUGCCUUCUGCCAUUCAUAUGCUCAAGCUUGGGACCACCAGACAGCCACUCAGUUGCAAGCUAACCCAGAAGUAUAGAGACACAGCAAGAGCAGAGUCCCUGGCUGAGAAGAAAGCUGUAGGCAAAGGUGGUAUCCUUAUUAAGAGAUCAUCCAUCCUUCCAGCAGGGGUUAAUACUGUCACCUUGGGGUGAACAAGAAGGCUCAGCUGGUGGUAAUUGUACAUGAGGUGGAUUCUAUCUAGCUGGAUACCUAGAUAGAAUACCAUCUAUCUAGGUAUACCAUACCAUCAAAGAAAGCUAGACUGGAACACAUAGUCCACGGAAGAAGUAAGUCACAAUUGCCUUUACACAGGUCAACUUGGAACCCAGGAGCUCUGGCUAACCCAAUGAACAAUAUCAAUUACAAUAACAGAUCACUGAGGAGAGGGUGUCCUGUGUUCAAAACUCUGAGGCUCACCUUGCCAAACUGGAAAAAGCAGAGGCUGAAGAACUUGUCACUAAACUGGGUUAAAUGUGCACUGUUGAGUUUUUUGUUUUUUAAUUUUUAUAGUAGUUGGAUACAAUCUUUAUUUUAUUUAUUUAUUUUUAUGUGGUGCUGAGGAUUGAACCCAAUACUUUGCAUGUGCAAGGUGAGUGCUCUAUUGCUGAGCCACAACCCCAGCCUCCAUUGUUGAGUUUUUUAUUGACAUAAAAAUAAUAAAAUUAUCCCUAAGGAAAAAAAAUCCAGCAUAUACAAUGAAACUUACAUCUCCCUCUCCAACCUCUGUUAUCGAGUCCCCCAGUUCCCACUCUCAGAGGCAGCCAUUACUACUGGCUUCUUGUGUAUCCUUCAGAGAUUCCAUGCAUAUUCACACAUCCCCCUUCAACUUGUUCUGUGACCAGAGAGCAUCUUUUAAUGAACAUCGACUCUGUUAUUCCUUUUUGAGGCUUCUCAAUGCGUGCAGAACAAGGGUCUGAAUGCUACUGGGGCCUCCAAAGCUCUGCUAGUUCUUUAGCCUCCCCUCAGAGCACCUUUCUCCUUGUAUUAUGCUCCAUUCUUACUGAGAGCCAACCACCUGUGCUCUCCCCUCUUCC